GGCGGCGUAGCUCAGCGGUAGAGCAAUCGGUUCAUACCCGAUCGGUCGAUGGUUCAAAUCUGUCCGCCGCCACCA
rnacentral:tRNA from 2 species